rnacentral:piRNA from 1 species
UGAAAAGGUUAUUUAUUAAAGUACAACUCUGG